GGGGAUAUGGCUCAGUUGGUAGAGCGAUGCGUUCGCAACGCAUAGGCCGUGGGUUCGAGUCCCAUUAUCUCCACCA
rnacentral:tRNA from 1 species